rnacentral:rRNA from 1 species
AUUGAACGCUGGCGGCAGGCCUAACACAUGCAAGUCGAGCGAGCGGCGGACGGGUGAGUAAUGUCUGGGAAACUGCCUGAUGGAGGGGGAUAACUACUGGAAACGGUAGCUAAUACCGCAUACCAUCAGAUGUGCCCAGAUGGGAUUGGCUAGUAGGUGGGGUAACGGCUCACCUAGGCGACGAUCCCUAGCGGGUCUGAGAGGAUGACCAGCCACACUGGAACUGAGACACUGGCCAGACUCCUCCGGGAGUGAGCAGUGGGGAAUAUUGAACAAUGGGCUCAAGCCUGAUUCAGCCAUGCCGCGGGGGUGAAGAAGGCCUUCGGGUUGUAAAGCACUUUCAGCGGGGAGUCGUUACCAACAGAAUAAGCACCGGCUAACUUCGUGCCAGCAGCCGCGGUAAUAC